AGUGAACGCUGGCGGCAGGCCUAACACAUGCAAGUCGAACGGCAGCACAAGAGAGCUUGCUCUCUGGGUGGCGAGUGGCGGACGGGUGAGGAAUGCAUCGGAAUCUGCCCAUUUGUGGGGGAUAACCUCGGGAAACCGGGACUAAUACCGCAUACGACCUACGGGUGAAAGCAGGGGAUCUUCGGACCUUGCGCAGAUGGAUGAGCCGAUGCCGGAUUAGCUAGUUGGAGGGGUAAAGGCCCACCAAGGCGACGAUCCGUAGCUGGUCUGAGAGGAGGAUCGGCCACACUGGACCUGAGACCCGGCCCAGCCUCCUACGGGAGGCAGCAGUGGGGAAUUUUGGACAAUGGGCGCAAGCCUGCUCCAGCCAUGCCGCGUGUGUGAAGAAGGCCUUCGGGUUGUAAAGCACUUUUGUUGGGAAAGAAAAGCAGCCGGUUAAUACCCGGUUGUCAUGACGGUACCCAAAGAAUAAGCACCGGCUAACUUCGU
rnacentral:rRNA from 1 species